rnacentral:rRNA from 1 species
CGAAGGUAGCAUAAUCAUUAGUUCUUUAAUUGAGAACUUGUAUGAAUGGUCGGACAAGAGAAAAGCUGUCUCUAAUAUUAAAAUUGAAAUUGACUUUUAAGUGAAAAGGCUUAAAUAUAUCAGGGGGACGAUAAGACCCUAUAAAGCUUUAUAUGUUGGUAUAAUUUAAUUUAAUUGAAAAUAUAAAAAUUUAUUUAAAUAGACAUAUUUAGUUGGGGCGACUAAGGUAUAAUUAUUAGUAACUGAUUGAAGCUAAAUCAAUGAUGGUUGAUUUACUUAUAAUUGAUCCUUAUUAAAGAUUAAAGAUUAAGUUACUUUAGGGAUAACAGCGUAAUUUUUUCUGAGAGUCCAUAUCGAAGAAAAAGUUUGCGACCUCGAUGUUGAAUUAAAAUGUCUUUAUAGUGCAGCAGCUAUAAAAGAAAGUCUGUUCGAC